CCUACGGGAGGCAGCAGUGGGGAAUAUUGGGCAAUGGAGGCAACUCUGACCCAGCAACGCCGCGUGAAUGAUGAAGGUCUUCGGAUUGUAAAGUUCUGUGAUGGGGGAUGAACACAAUGACGGUACCCCAAUAGCAAGCCACGGCUAACUACGUGCCAGCAGCCGCGGUAAUACGUAGGUGGCAAGCGUUAUCCGGAAUGACUGGGCGUAAGGGGUGCGUAGGUGGUUUAGUAAGUUGGCGGUGUAAUUCCGGGGCUCAACCUCGGCGCUACCGCCAAAACUAUUAGACUAGAGUGCAGGAGGAGUAAGUGGAAUUCCUAGUGUAGCGGUGGAAUGCGUAGAUAUUAGGAGGAACAUCAGGGGCGAAGGCGACUUACUGGACUGUAACUGACACUGAGGCACGAAAGCGUGGGGAGCAAACAGGAUUAGAUACCCCAGUAGUC
rnacentral:rRNA from 1 species